UAAUGCAUCGGAACAUGUCCAUUCGUGGGGGAUAGCCCGGCGAAAGCCGGAUUAAUACCGCAUACGCCCGAGAGGGGAAAGUGGGGGACCGCAAGGCCUCACGCGAUUGGGUUGGCCGAUGUCCGAUUAGCUAGUUGGCGGGGUAAGAGCCCACCAAGGCGAUGAUCGGUAGCUGGUCUGAGAGGAUGAUCAGCCACACUGGGACUGAGACACGGCCCAG
rnacentral:rRNA from 1 species